AGGCGUUAUUGCAGGUUGGAUUGCACCAGGCAAUGCAAAGGAGCGACAGGACAGCCGGGACGGACAGGAGGAGACAGCGGAGAGUCAUGGUCGCUGCUGCUGGACAAGCUGCUGAGGUCUUCUGGCUGGAGAGCCACUCCAGCACAGUGUCCAGCUCUCCCACCGCCUUCUGGGCCGCCUGGCUUAUCUGGAGCUGCUCAGCAUGAAGGAGAAGCAAAGGGUGAGAGAAGAGAAAGUGGAAAAAUAGGGUAAGUGAUGAACAUAAUUACACAGACAAAACAUAGUUAGUCUUCAUGGUAAGAGAGGUUUGGUCAAAGCAGCUACAACGUGUCUUCCAAACCCAUUGUGUUUACAUUACCCUGUUUAAGGAUUCUGCCCUCAGCACAAUGACAAAAGUUAAUUUAUAUUAUUUUUGUGUCUGUUUUUUUGCAUGUUAAGCCAGGAUUUAUGAAAAAAAUAUUGUAUUUAUGGUGUUGAAUUCUGGAGAAAGAGCUUUCCUAUUAAUGUCAAACAGACAAAAUUCUUUAAAAGUAGAUUUGAAAGCUCUUUAAUCUUUGAACUCCUGUGACCUUCUGUUUGAUUGUGUUACAUUCUUUUUAACAAAACUAAAUAUUCACUUCAGGAAGCUGUGUUUCUACAGAUCACUUUUAUAUCACCUAAGAUAUCAUUUGAAUAACUGAUUUAAAUUGAUUCUGGGGUUUACUCCUUAGCACCUUCUGCAGUUUGCUGUGAGAAUGUAGAACAUGAGAAAAUGUUUUGUGUGUCUACAGAGACUGUUUUUCUGUGUUCUGCAUACCUUGAUGAACUCAGCGUGCACAGAGUCUAUUUUUCUCUGGGUUUCUUCCUCACAAAGGCAGUGCUGCACAGAGCAGAGGACAACCAUCACUACAACUUGGGAUGCUUUUAAUCAAAGCACAUUUUCUAAUUAAACCAACUUGUUGAAUAGCUGACUUACACAUUUGUGUAUCUCUCUUCUGAUGCUGACGAAAGCAUUGGCCAGAGCGCUGGAGCAGCGCUGCUGCUGCGGAUGAGAAGAGGCGUAGUUGCUGAAAACUCUCUCCACAUAGAAACGCAGCACCAGACGCAUGAAGCAGCACAUUUGACCCUCCUGAUAGAGACAUACAAUAGUCAGAAUACAGCACCUUUAACACACUCCUACUGGUACUCAUAUAGGGCAGACAAAUGUAAUAAAUGUAAAGCUAAAGUGAAGAUGAACAGCUCGUAAGUAUCACUCAAAGGCAACAAAAAACUUCACCUGAACAUCUUUCAUUAAUGAUUUAUCCAGAAGUUUCACUCCGAUCUCACUGUCUUCUGAUAUCUGUCACGUAAAAAAACACAGCGGAUCAAAUUAGAAUCACUGUCUGCAGGUUUCCUUCCACUUAAAAGUGCCAUAAACAGUAUGAGUUGUGAACAGUGUCUGACAUGUCAUGUGUAUCCUGCAUGUUAUUCUGAGUGAAGGGCUGUACUGGAUUACUUGGAGAUAUAGGUUUUAAAAAGAAUGUCUGUGUAUUAAACUCACCGCAUUUGAUCGUAUGUCAGAGUAAUAUUUGCGCAGUUCAUGCAUGUGGACAUUGACAGAGCAGCUGUCCAGAUGCAGAGUUCGACUUUCCACAGGUUCAGUCAGACAGAUGAGAAGCAGCAGCAGAGAGACGGAGCAGCCGAGCAGCAUCUUCAUCAUCACGUUUAUCUGGAGGCAAAACUAACAGACAUUUUGUAUGUUCAAAUAUCUUUAGGGGGAAAAAAAGAAAGAAAUAAUAACAAAAAUGUCUAUAUAUACAUCACAUACAUAUAUUUAGAUAGGUAGGGUUUCAAUUAGGGAUAAGCUUAACCAUUGAUUUGUCUCUUAAACAUAUGUUUGAUCAAUCUAGGGAUUGUCCAUAAAGUCAAGAAAAGGUGUCAAAUGUUCAAAAAUGUACAUAUUUCAGAAGUAAAUGUUUUAAUUUUUUUACUCAAUAAUUGAGUAAUCAAUUGAUAGAAUAGCUUUUUCUGAUAAUCAACAUAAUACACAUGCGAUUCUUCAUCUGUAUAGUACAUUUAAGCACGUGAAAUAUACUAAUUAUAGUCUUAAUUUGCUUCACAAGUAUCAUCAUCCACCACCAUGACCAGAACUGUGUCUAAACUCACCUGUGUUUGUGUGCGUUAAUCAGAGCAAGAGUCCUGGAAACGAUGUGUCUCUGAGCCUCCAUGCUGUUGCCUCUUAUAGUGGAGUGAGGGGGAUUUUCACCAGGUAUUGAACAGCGUACACAGACACACACACUCAUGCAUGAACCUGCAUGUGCCCAAAUUGCUUUACAGGAGAAGGAAGUGUGUAGCAAUUAAAGGAACUGCCAGGUGAUGUCUCAAUACCUGAAUGGAAGACACGGGAAAGAAAUGAUUGACGGUUUGCUCCUGUCUGAUGUGUAGAGAAAUGCCUUUGCAGUCAGUGACAUGCUGUGUAAUUAUUUAAUGACGCAUUCAUCAGAUUAGAGCAUCAUCAUUCCUCUGCAGAUGCACGGGUUCUAUUAAGAAGUAUUCAAAAAGUCCAUAAUGAUGUUUAUUUUAGGGGGAGGAUGUGUGAUUAAAAUGUUUUGCACCAAUAUCAUUUGUUUCUGGGUUUCUAAGUGGUUACUAUGUCUCCUGUAUCCGUUUGUUUUUGAUUUCUCAUAGACUUCUAACUGAUCCCCAUGUUUUUCUUCAGAGGUUAUACAACUGUUUGGGUCUGUACUGGAAAUAAAACCUCCUUCAGCACAAUAUGAGACAUUACUGAACUUCUUUCCCUUGAGCAGUCCUCUCUCACAGGGAGUGACGUUCCUCCUGCCAGACAAGUGGUAAUCAGAAACACCCAUCAGACCUGCUCAUCUGCUUGGAAGAAAUCAAGAGCAGGGAAGUCCAGCGGAAACAGGAAUAACCUGCAUUGUUGGAAUAAUAUGAAGUUUGUCAGUAGCAAUCUAUAGGAAUAUAAUUAUAAACAAGGAAGUACAAAAUUUCCAGCUUUUUCUGUCUAGGACAUUUGUAGGUGUCAUCAUCUGUACUAAAAAUACCUGACAGCACUUCACAGCUCUGGAAUGCUUGAUGUUUGGUAGAUUGUAGUUUUGUUGACCACUAGAGGUCGUCGUGAAGCUUUUUGAACAAGGUGAAACCUCUGUUGAUUCAAGUCAAAAUCCUCUGCAUGUGGACAGUAUUUCACCAGCUGCUCUAAGAUAUUUAUGGUCAUAUAAAUCACUUUUACUACAUUAAUACAAAGGUUAGGUACAGAGUUACAUUUUUCUGGCUCUGAGUGAAUAAAACAACAGAAGCAGCAGAAGUACCGUAGGAUAACACCGUAAUAAUAAGCCAGCGUCUUCCAACCUUUAUUGAGCUGUGAUACUCUCAAACAACACAAUGUCUAUAAAAGCUGCAAAUCAAUGACUUGAAGACAGUUAUUCCAUCAAAGAAUGUUCCUGUGGCAGAUCUUGAAUUUCCCCGAGGGGAUGAGUAAAAUAUCUAUCUAUCUAUCUAUCUAUCUAUCUAUCUAUCUAUCUAUCUAUCUAUCUAUCUAUCUAUCUAUCUAUCUAUCUAUCUAUCUAUCUAUCUAUCUAUCUAUCUAUCUAUCUAUCUAUCUAUCUAUCUAUCUAUCUAUCUAUCUAUCUAUCUAUCUAUCUAUCUAUCUAUCUAUCUAUCUAUCUAUCUAUUUCACUCCGUCAUAGAAAUAAUGUACAAAAUGCAUGUAUUUCUUCAGUACUAUCUUAAUAAUCAUCUUAUGACACCUCAGCUUUGUUUUAUGACCCACACUGGGAACUAUUAGGUUAAGCAAAUAUUGUCAAAUUUAUUUCUUUUCAACUCUGUGGUCAUUUCCCGAGGUUGUGUAGUAGAUAUUUGUCAUCUUGUAACUCCUGUUACUCAUUGUUAAGGCCUUUUUUCUGUUUUUGUGGAGUCCUGUUGUGUAACCUUUGUUUAUUUCUACUUAUGACUACCAGUGAGAACUCAGAUGAACACACGAAGCCAGAAAGUCACUGCUUGAAAUGUAUCAACAUCACUCUGACAAAUCUAAAAAGACACUGUAUUACACAAGGUUUUCACUGCAGUCCUAAUAACACAAAUUAGGGAAAUCAGACAAACAACAAAGGUCCUGCAGCCAGGGGUCAGACCUUUGACACUGCAGUUCUGUAUGUGGUAUGUGCCUGAGGCAUCAGACUACUAGGGGACAUAUUGUUUUUUUCAUAUAUUUUAGACAGUUUGAUUUAAGCUUUAAUUACAUCCAUAUUAACUCACGUAUCAGCAUCAUAGCGUGACACCAGCACAAAAUGUCUCACCAUGUGCAUCCUGUGUGUCCUCCUGCACUGACAUUACACAAAUAAAACGGGGAACCUCUUGUAAAAACAUGGCUCCUCAGCUUUACUACUGGUCAAAAAUCCCACAGUGUAUUUUCAAAGAAAACAACUCUAAACCAGACUUUCCACAGCUUUGUACGCUUCAUUUCCCCCGAAAUUGCCGUUGCUCUGUUACUGUUGAUGCCGUUAGAGGACACAGUAUUAAAAAGGUGAUUAUAAAAUUGUAUUUUAUAAUUUCAAUUAAACAUUAAACACAAUCAAAUGAUCCAAGAAAACUUUUUAUUUACCAUUAUUUGUACAAAGCUUCUUUAUACAGAAUAAUAAUAUACAGAAGACUAAGAGUAAAAAGAAUAAAACGACAUUUUUACAUGGAGUACCCUGAAAAUCACAGGCACAUUUGGGACAGUUUCAACUACAUGGUAGUUAUGUUUUAAAUUGGUGCUUUUGACAUCCACUGCAGGUCUGUUUGUUGACGCUGGCAGCUGCUUUACUCUGAUCACAUCUGCCAGCAAGCAUAACUACCUUUUAUAUCUGUAGCAUGUCUGUCAAUGUACCUGUAUUUUCAGGCUUUGCUUUUUCUAAUGUUUUUUUCAUAUUCAAUGCAUUGUAUCUUUGUAGACAAAAUACGACAGAUAAACUGAAACUCCUACAAAAACCUAACCCUAAAUGUUGCAACAUCCACUUUUUGCAGAUUCGUAGUCUAAUGUUUGGAUUCUCUGGCAACGAUGACACUCAUCAAAGUCAAAAAGCUUGAACUAUCAAAGCUUUACAGAUAUUCGCACGGCUGGAUAAACGUCACUGACCAUGAUGUGUUGUCUUGAAUUCACUUUGUACACAGUGACUCUGCGUUUGUGUGUUUGCGUGUACGUGUGUGUGUGGUUUGUGCGUGUGCGGAAGCCUGCAGGCCUUUAGGCACUUUUCUCCUAAAUAACAAUAGAGUGAAGGUGUCUGAAGCACAUGAUGACAUCCAGAGGAAUGGGUGGACUCAGGUGAUUUCCGUCCAAACGCAGGUACCUGAGGCAAAAAAUACACACCAAAAAAAACCCAGGAAAUUUACAUGCCAUCACAAUGACUCUGGGUUUUCAAAACACUUUAGUUGCUGAUGCAAUCCCUUUGUUCCCGUGGAACUGUGCCAAUUCAUGUUAUGGAGUGCAAAGACGUGACAUAAUGUGCCAUACCUUAGCCUGGGCACCACGCUGUGAUCACUCAGGUCGGCAUGCAGGCUGUAAGGGCAGAGCUGGGUGCCAUUAAUGCCUGUUAGGAAAACACGGUUGUGAACAUCCAGCAUCAAGUGUUCACACAAAGAUAAAUUAAGAAAAGCUACCAGUUUAGUGGUGAUUGUCAAUAGUACACAUGAUUUAAUGAUGGUAAUUUAUUUAACAAUUUUAAAGACAGAGUCCAAAGUGCUGUUAUGAUUCUGCUUCUGUCCCUGUUCCUUCUCCCUCCUUCUCCCUCGUUUUUCUGCGUCUGUUUUGACCUGUCUGUCUUCCUCUGUAUCUCUCUCUCUCUCUCUCUCCCUGUCGCUCUUGCCCCUGUGUCUCUCUCUCUCUGUCUCUCACUCACUCUCACUGCCUGAACUGCUGAUUGCUGCAAUGAAAGUCAGCUGUGACAAUCAGCUCACCUGUUCUCCACCUCACCUCCAGCUAUUUAAGCUCUGUGCUGUGAUUCACUCCCCGCUGGAUCAUCGACCCACAUACCUUCAAAAACUCCCAUCCUGUCACGGACUCAGUACGCUCUUUGGGAUUUGCUUCCCCACUUUUUGGACUCUGUUUUCCCCCCUCCUGGAUUUUCUCACACAUGGACUCAGUUCUCCUCCCGGAUUCCCAUCAGCCCUGCUUCAGUCUCCAGUCAGUGUUCCUACCUCAUCUCCAUUAGCCUCUGGACUUUCUCAGCCUGUUUUGCCCUCUGUAUUCAGUUUCCCCCCAUCUUGUGAGUACCCCUCCUUAGUUUAGUUUUGGUAGACUUCCGUUUUGUACUCAUAGUGUUUAUUGUCGAGUUUUGAGUUGUUUGGUUUAGUUCUGUCCUCUCAGUUCAGUUCUCAAUUUAUGUAUUGGUUUAGUUUUUUUGGGUUAAAUAAAUCUCUUGCCUGUA